rnacentral:rRNA from 1 species
CAAGAAGGCCCGUGGCCUAGGUCAAUGGGCCACAUUGCACUUGGUGGGCGCGUUGGCCUAUCAUCUCCCCAAGUGGGAGAGUGAACGUCGUAAUUUGUGGUAGAGGGGGUACGCGUUCGCGCGGCCCCUGCCAAUUCUGUAAAAUUAAAAUUUGGUCCUCGAGGCCGGGCGCUUCGCAGUUUAUUCUUGAGAAAGUAGAAUUAAGGUGCGAAUUUCUUGAAGAGAAAGAAUUCUGCAGAAAUAUUUAGGUCUUGUUGGAUCUCAAUCCAAAAGCGUACACAGAGGGAGGAAGAUUUGAUUUGGGGGAGGAUUGAUGGCGCGAAGCGUGUCGUACGUAUCGGCGGCGAAACUGGUGUCCAUGGCGCGGGGGAACCGGGUGGCCGUCAUCGACGUCAGGGAUGAGGAGAGGAGCUAUCAGGCGCACAUCGCGGGGUCGCACCACUUCGCCAGCGGCAGCUUCGCGGCGCGGAUGCCGGAGCUCGUGCUGGCCACCAGCGGCAAGGACACCCUCGUCUUCCACUGCGCGCUCAGCCAGGUGCGAGGUCCGUCCUGUGCUCGGAUGUUUUCAGACUAUCUAUCAGAGUCCAAGGAAGAUUCGGGGAUAAAGAACAUCAUGGUGCUUGAACGUGGGUUCAAUGGAUGGGAGAUUUCUGGCCAACCCGUGUGCCACUGCAAAGAUGCUCCUUGCAAAGGCACAUGCUCUUGAUCCUCUGGGCUACCAUCUGGUCCAUUUCUAUUCAGCUUUUGAAUGAUCUGCGAUUCAGCAUCGCUGCUGAGCUGGUCCUUUCUCAUUGAGACGCUGAUGCAUAACAAUCCAUUGAAUUCCGCAAUGGCAUGUCUUGAAACAUUUCAUUUACAAAUACAUGACAUCUUUUUUCAGAUGAUAUAUGUAUACGGUAUAUCUAAACUGUUACAUGCAUACGUACCUUGCGUGAAAAAUCUCCUUAAAAUGUACCGGGAAGUCUGAAGAUGCUUGUACCGUUGAACUAGGCAUGUUAGUUUUUGAAGAAUGUUCAAGUUUUAUCCUCUUCAUUUCACAUGGAGCUAUGCAAUCCCAACAUGAUUUCAUAAUCACUUUUAUUUCUCUUUAUUGAAAAGUGUUCUAGGUUUUUCCUCGUUGGGAAUUGAAAUUUUAUAUUCUUUCAUAUCAAUUAUUGCCCC